CAGUACAAGUACCGUGAGGGAAAGUUGCAAAGAACUUUGAAGAGAGAGUUCAAGAGAAUGUGAAUCCACGUGGGGCUAAGCGGAUAGAGUUGACGAAACUGGCAGUGUUCAGUAGUCCUGAUCGGGUUUCGACUCGUGAUGGUCUGCGCAUUCAUUGUCGGUACGUGCUGGGACGUUUGGCGAGCCCUUCUGAAGGCUUCAGAGUCACCCAAGCUUCGGCCUGGUAGUGUUUUGUUGUCGGAAGUUGAUGUGCUUGCUAAGCGUAAUGUUGGCCAUGCCUCUGCGCGUUCUGCAGUUGGUUAGCGCUCUGCUUGGUAGUCGGACAUGUCUGGCUGCCUCGUACGUGUGUUGAUCAGCGGCUGCUCGCCUAUGGUCCAAUCCCGGUAUGUGAAAGUCGACCACCUAUCCGACCCGUCUUGAAACACGGACCAAGAAGUCUAGUAUGUACGCGAGUCAUUGGGUAUCAAAACCUAUUGGCGCAAUAAAUGUGAAGGGCGGCUCGUUCGUCUGAUAUGUGAUCCGUCAGUUUCGGCUGGCGGCGCAACAUAGUCCCAUGCCUACUGCUUGCAGUGGUGUGGAGAUGGAGCGUACACACUAGGACCCGAAAGAUGGUGAACUAUGCCUGAGCAGGACGAAGUCAGAGGAAACUCUGAUGGAAGUCCGAAGCGGUUCUGACGUGCAAAUCGAUCGUCGGACUCGGGUAUAGGGGCGAAAGACUAAUCGAACC
rnacentral:rRNA from 1 species